rnacentral:rRNA from 1 species
CCUACGGGCGGCUGCAGUGGGGAAUAUUGGACAAUGGGGGAAACCCUGAUCCAGCAAUGCCGCGUGUGUGAAGAAGGCCUGCGGGUUGUAAAGCACUUUCGGUUGGGAAGAAACGUUUGGCGCCAAUACCGCCGAACCUUGACGUUACUGACAGAAGAAGCACCGGCUAACUCUGUGCCAGCAGCCGCGGUAAUACAGAGGGUGCAACCGUUAAUCGAAAUCACUUGGCGUAACAUGUACGUAGGGUGUCAAAGCCCCGGGCUGAACCUGGGAACUGCAUUCGAUACUACAUGGCUAGAGUAUGGUAGAGGGAAGUGGAAUUUCCGGUGUAGCGGUGAAAUGCGUAGAUAUCGGAAGGAACACCAAUGGCGAAGGCAGCUUCCUGGACUAAUACUGACACUGAGGCACGAAAGCGUGGGUAGCAAACAGGAUUAGAUACCCCUGUAGUC